GUCUCUGUGGCGCAGUGGGUCAGGGUGUCUGGCUGUUAACCAGAAGGUUGGUGGUUCGAGUCCACCCAGGGACG
rnacentral:tRNA from 1 species